UUUAUCAGACCUCAAACUUUAUUUAUAGCUUUUUCGUUGGCAUUCUUUACACUUUUUCACUUGAUUUGCUGUUUCGUAAUAUUUCGCGAUAAUUAUUAAAAAUAAAGGCGCGCCAUGGAUUUCUAAAAAAAAAUGUAUUUGCGUACCAGCCUUGAAUUUGAUGUUUGCAAAAGCAAAAUAAACAGAGAAAAAAUUAAAACCAAACACGCCGAAACAAACACACAUACACAUACACAAAUACGAAAGCAAUACGAGCGAGCGGGCGAGAACAACAAACUACCGUUAAACGGCACAGGGCUAUUGCCUUAAUGAGUUUCUUGUUUGUUUGCAUGCCAUUUGUUGUUCGCUGGUUAAUUUAACAUGGUUUUUAGUUUGUUGUU